AUAAAAAAAGCAAUUCAUUUCGAAAUUGCUCCGGAAGUAAAUACUUUUAAAUUUGGCGAUUCAAAUGAGUUUAAAUCGAUUAUAAUGGAAAUCUGGAUUAUAUAAACAGGUGGAUGAUUCUACACGUCAAACCAGUUACACAAAAUAAGUACGAUGAAAAUAUUCGGCGUUCUCUUUUCCGCUAUUUUCGUUAUUUUGAUUAUUGCGAUGGCUGGCGUGUCAGCUCAUAAAGGAGGUCCUGGUGGACCUGGGGGUCCUGGAGGACAUGGAGGACAUGGAGGUCCACCACCUAGUGGAGACGCCGGACCUGCCAGUACUCCAGCUAGUACUACAGCAGCUUCUUAGUGAAAUAAUGAUUCGAGGCGAAUUUGUAUUUCAUGCUGCCAGAAAUAAAUAAAAUUGAAUAUUUCAA